rnacentral:rRNA from 1 species
GACGAACGCUGGCGGCGUGCUUAACACAUGCAAGUCGAACGAUGAAGCCUAGCUUGCUAGGUGGAUUAGUGGCGAACGGGUGAGUAAUACGUGAGUAACCUACCUUUAACUCUGGGAUAAGCCUGGGAAACUGGGUCUAAUACCGGAUACGACCAAUCUCCGCAUGGGGUGUUGGUGGAAAGCGUUAUGUAGUGGUUAUAGAUGGGCUCACGGCCUAUCAGCUUGUUGGUGAGGUAACGGCUCACCAAGGCGACGACGGGUAGCCGGCCUGAGAGGGUGACCGGCCACACUGGGACUGAGACACGGCCCAGACUCCUACGGGAGGCAGCAGUGGGGAAUAUUGCACAAUGGGCGCAAGCCUGAUGCAGCGACGCCGCGUGAGGGAUGACGGCCUUCGGGUUGUAAACCUCUGUUAGCAGGGAAGAAGAGAGAUUGACGGUAUCUGCAGAGAAAGCGCCGGCUAACUACGUGCCAGCAGCCGCGGUAAUACGUAGGGCGCGAGCGUUGUCCGGAAUUAUUGGGCGUAAAGAGCUUGUAGGCCGUUUUGUCGCGUCUGCUGUGAAAGGCCGGGGCUUAACUCCGUGUAUUGCAGUGGGUACGGGCAGACUAGAGUGCAGUAGGGGAGACUGGAAUUCCUGGUGUAGCGGUGGAAUGCGCAGAUAUCAGGAGGAACACCGAUGGCGAAGGCAGGUCUCUGGGCUGUAACUGACGCUGAGAAGCGAAAGCAUGGGGAGCGAACAGGAUUAGAUACCCUGGUAGUCCAUGCCGUAAACGUUGGGCACUAGGUGUGGGGGACAUUCCACGUUUUCCGCGCCGUAGCUAACGCAUUAAGUGCCCCGCCUGGGGAGUACGGCCGCAAGGCUAAAACUCAAAGAAAUUGACGGGGGCCCGCACAAGCGGCGGAGCAUGCGGAUUAAUUCGAUGCAACGCGAAGAACCUUACCAAGGCUUGACAUAUACUGGACCGCAUCAGAGAUGGUGUUUCCCUUCGGGGCUGGUAUACAGGUGGUGCAUGGUUGUCGUCAGCUCGUGUCGUGAGAUGUUGGGUUAAGUUCCGCAACGAGCGCAACCCUCGUUCUAUGUUGCCAGCACGUUAUGGUGGGGACUCAUAGGAGACUGCCGGGGUCAACUCGGAGGAAGGUGGGGAUGACGUCAAAUCAUCAUGCCCCUUAUGUCUUGGGCUUCACGCAUGCUACAAUGGCCGGUACAGAGGGUUGCGAUACUGUGAGGUGGAGCUAAUCCCUAAAAGCCGGUCUCAGUUCGGAUUGGGGUCUGCAACUCGACCCCAUGAAGUCGGAGUCGCUAGUAAUCGCAGAUCAGCAACGCUGCGGUGAAUACGUUCCCGGGCCU